UACAGAGGGUGCGAGCGUUAAUCGGAAUUACUGGGCGUAAAGCGCGCGUAGGCGGCUUUGCAAGUCGGGUGUGAAAUCCCCAGGCUUAACCUGGGAACUGCAUUCGAGACUGCAUUGCUAGAGUAUGGGAGAGGGAAGUGGAAUUUCCGGUGUAGCGGUGAAAUGCGUAGAUAUCGGAAGGAACAUCAGUGGCGAAAGCGGCUCUCUGGGACGGUACUGACGCUGAGACGCGAAAGCGUGGGGAGCAAACAGG
rnacentral:rRNA from 1 species